CAAGUCGACGAUGAACCGCUUUCGGGCGGGGAUUAGUGGCGAACGGGUGAGUAACACGUGGGCAAUCUGCCCUGCACUCUGGGACAAGCCCUGGAAACGGGGUCUAAUACCGGAUAUGACCGUCUGCCGCAUGGUGGAUGGUGUAAAGCUCCGGCGGUGCAGGAUGAGCCCGCGGCCUAUCAGCUUGUUGGUGAGGUAGUGGCUCACCAAGGCGACGACGGGUAGCCGGCCUGAGAGGGCGACCGGCCACACUGGGACUGAGACACGGCCCAGACUCCUACGGGAGGCAGCAGUGGGGAAUAUUGCACAAUGGGCGAAAGCCUGAUGCAGCGACGCCGCGUGAGGGAUGACGGCCUUCGGGUUGUAAACCUCUUUCAGCAGGGAAGAAGCGAAAGUGACGGUACCUGCAGAAGAAGCGCCGGCUAACUACGUGCCAGCAGCCGCGGUAAUACGUAGGGCGCAAGCGUUGUCCGGAAUUAUUGGGCGUAAAGAGCUCGUAGGCGGCUUGUCACGUCGGUUGUGAAAGCCCGGGGCUUAACCCCGGGUCUGCAGUCGAUACGGGCAGGCUAGAGUUCGGUAGGGGAGAUCGGAAUUCCUGGUGUAGCGGUGAAAUGCGCAGAUAUCAGGAGGAACACCGGUGGCGAAGGCGGAUCUCUGGGCCGAUACUGACGCUGAGGAGCGAAAGCGUGGGGAGCGAACAGGAUUAGAUACCCUGGUAGUCCACGCCGUAAACGGUGGGCACUAGGUGUGGGCAACAUUCCACGUUGUCCGUGCCGCAGCUAACGCAUUAAGUGCCCCGCCUGGGGAGUACGGCCGCAAGGCUAAAACUCAAGGAAUUGACGGGGGCCCGCACAAGCGGCGGAG
rnacentral:rRNA from 1 species